CUGCACCAGUACAGGUGAGACGGCGGGAGUCACGUGACCAGAGGCUCAACGUCCAGGUGAGACGGCGGGAGUCAGUCAGACAGACAGCUGCUGUUCCUGACAGAACACACAGCAAACAACAACGAGCUGGCAUGUAAUUCACGGAAUAAAUCUCUUCAUCAUGAAUUCAAGCGGUGGAUUAGGCCUAUCAGACGAUGAAGAUAAGAUUACUAUUUUAUCUUGGAUCUACGUCUCGACUUUGAGUUUAAGUCUGAUAGGUAGUUGUUCUGUCGUUGUGGUUUCCAUCAUAAAGAGAAGGCAUCUCAAUGAACAGGUGA